AUUGAACGCUGGCGGCAGGCCUAACACAUGCAAGUCGAGCGGAUGAAGGGAGCUUGCUCCUGGAUUCAGCGGCGGACGGGUGAGUAAUGCCUAGGAAUCUGCCUGGUAGUGGGGGAUAACGUCCGGAAACGGGCGCUAAUACCGCAUACGUCCUGAGGGAGAAAGUGGGGGAUCUUCGGACCUCACGCUAUCAGAUGAGCCUAGGUCGGAUUAGCUAGUUGGUAGGGUAAAGGCCUACCAAGGCGACGAUCCGUAACUGGUCUGAGAGGAUGAUCAGUCACACUGGAACUGAGACACGGUCCAGACUCCUACGGGAGGCAGCAGUGGGGAAUAUUGGACAAUGGGCGAAGGCCUGAUCCAGCCAUGCCGCGUGUGUGAAGAAGGUCUUCGGAUUGUAAAGCACUUUAAGUUGGGAGGAAGGGCAGUAAGUUAAUACCUUGCUGUUUUGACGUUACCAACAGAAUAAGCACCGGCUAACUUCGUG
rnacentral:rRNA from 1 species